CUCCAUUUAUGUACUACAUGUACAUUACCAGUGACGUCACUGGAAAGAGAAGUCUGACGUCUGCAAGUUCUAGGGCCUAGCUAAAGUGUAUUACAUAAUGGAGACUUGGGUUACCAAAAACAGAAAAUAUUGACCACGUUGAGGCAGUGAGCUGUCUUGGUCAGCACCCAGGUGUAUCCAUCAACACGGGCACGUUAUAUCUAAAUGAAGACAUGCAUUCCAGGAUGGUGACUGAAGCUCAUCUUUGUAAACACCUAAAUGCCUAGAAUGGACUCCAAAACAGAUUCUUAAAGUUUAACCAGUAUUAUCUUGAAUAUGGACAAAAAGUAUACACUUGGAACACACACAAAAACAGAUGAGUUCAUGCCAAGCUAAAGAUUAAUGCAGAUGGUAAGUUCAAUUUUUCAUUUUGUAACUCUUCUGGUUUUAUCCAGAUCGGACCUUACAUAUAAUUAAGUCAGCUUCAGUAUAUAAUAGAAGAAUAUGGAGAUAACGAACAGUAUUCAAUCUCAAAGUCCAUAAAACUAUACAAAAUAAGAGCAGAGCAAACACGGACCCCCGAAACAUCAGAGGUGGGAUCAGGUGCCAUAA